CAGUCGCCGCGGUAAUACGAAGGGGGCUAGCGUUGUUCAGAUUUACUGGGCGUAAAGGGCGCGUAGGCGGACUGAUAAGUCAGGGGUGAAAUCCCAAGGCUCAACCUUGGAACUGCCUUUGAUACUGUUUGUCUUGAGUUCGAGAGAGGUAAGUGGAACUGCGAGUGUAGAGGUGAAAUUCGUAGAUAUUCGCAAGAACACCAGUGGCGAAGGCGGCUUACUGGCUCGAAACUGACGCUGAGGCGCGAAAGCGUGGGGAGCAAACAGGAUUAGAUACCCCAGUAGUCCCUGUCUCUUAUAC
rnacentral:rRNA from 1 species